GACGCACUGACCGCGCCCGCGGUCGCAUCUCACGAUUUCGUGCUGUUUUUUCUUCUUCGUUAUAGGGUAGAUAAUCGCCUUCGUUUCCUCCCCAGUGAAUCCUUAGAGAUGAUGCAGCUCUUCUGGCUGGAGGGCACCACCACCGUCCUAUAAGUUCUUCACCAAGAUGCGGAACAUGUUUGGCAGGAUUUUCUGUUCUGUAGUCUCGUUUAUGGCAUGUAUGCGCACUAUCCCUGAUUUCCCAUUUUGUAUGUCAAAAUAAUGGACAAAACAGUGACAGUAAUUUAUUCAGUGGGCUA